GCCCCAGUAGCUUAGCCUGGCGGAGCGGAUGGCUGUUAACCAUCAGGUCGUCAGUUCAAAUCUGACCUGGGGCG
rnacentral:tRNA from 1 species